ensembl:misc_RNA Metazoa_SRP Metazoan signal recognition particle RNA
GCUGGGUGCAAUGGAGUGUGCCUCCACACUCAGCUACUCAGGAGGCUGAGGUGGCAGGAUCACUUGAGCCCAGGAGUUCUAGGCUGUAGGGCACUAUGACAAUUGGGUAUCCACAUUAAGUUUGACAUUGAUAUCGUGACCCCUCAGGAGCAGGGGACCACCAGGUUGCCUAAGGAGGGGUGAACCAGCCCAGGUGGGAAACAGAGGAAUCCAAAACUCCCAUGCUGAUCCGUAGUGGCAUCGCCUUGUGAGUAGCCAGUCCACUCCAGCCUGGGCAACAUAGGGAGACCCCGUCUCUA